CGGGAGCUUCAGCGGUAGCAUCGCCACAAUGCUGUUCCGGCCGGCAUGGUGUUGGAAGACCGCAUUGUUUCUUUUGCGUUCUGAAGUGAAACAAGGACUCAGGGGAAGGAUAGAGACCGAUGCAAGGCAAUGCUUAGUAGAAGAGCAUAGCAAAAGAAGUAGAGCAAAUUACAAAGG